rnacentral:rRNA from 1 species
GACGAACGCUGGCGGCGUGCUUAACACAUGCAAGUCGAACGGAAAGGCCCUGCUUUUGUGGGGUGCUCGAGUGGCGAACGGGUGAGUAACACAUGAGUAACCUGCCCUUGACUUUGGGAUAACUUCAGGAAACUGGGGCUAAUACCGGAUAGGAGCUCCUGCUGCAUGGUGGGGGUUGGAAAGUUUCGGCGGUUGGGGAUGGACUCGCGGCUUAUCAGCUUGUUGGUGGGGUAGUGGCUUACCAAGGCUUUGACGGGUAGCCGGCCUGAGAGGGUGACCGGCCACAUUGGGACUGAGAUACGGCCCAGACUCCUACGGGAGGCAGCAGUGGGGAAUAUUGCACAAUGGGCGGAAGCCUGAUGCGGCAACGCCGCGUGCGGGAUGACGGCCUUCGGGUUGUAAACCGCUUUCGCCUGUGACGAAGCGUGAGUGACGGUAAUGGGUAAAGAAGCACCGGCUAACUACGUG